GAUGAACGCUGGCGGCGUGCCUAAUACAUGCAAGUCGAGCGAACAGAUGAGGAGCUUGCUCCUCUGACGUUAGCGGCGGACGGGUGAGUAACACGUGGAUAACCUACCUAUAAGACUGGGAUAACUUCGGGAAACCGGAGCUAAUACCGGAUAAUAUAUUGAACCGCAUGGUUCAAUAGUGAAAGACGGUUUUGCUGUCACUUAUAGAUGGAUCCGCGCCGCAUUAGCUAGUUGGUAAGGUAACGGCUUACCAAGGCAACGAUGCGUAGCCGACCUGAGAGGAUGAUCGGCCACACUGGAACUGAGACACGGUCCAGACUCCGACGGGAGGCAGCAGUAGGGAAUCGUGAGGAAUGGGCGAAAGCCUGACGGAGCAACGCCGCGUGAGUGAUGAAGGUCUUCGGAUCGUAAAACGCUGUUAUUAGGGAAGAACAAAUGUGUAAGUAACUAUGCACGUCUUGACGGUACCUAAUCAGAAAGCCACGGCUAACUACGUG
rnacentral:rRNA from 1 species